rnacentral:lncRNA from 1 species
UUGAUCUAGCUCUGAUUCCUAAGGCAUUGGCGUAUUUCAUUCAUCACAAUUUAAGCACUAAUCGGAGCGGGUCUGAAUUGAUAUCGGAGCGUGCCCUACUUCUUCAUCAGAUCCUGCAGAAGAAACAGGUGAAUAUUGGACGGAUCAUCGCUGCUGAUAUGGAUGAGAUUGCUCAGUCGCCAAAGAAAUCAUUAGGCCAUGCGACUGUGAUUCAUUUGCUGUGUAAAAAAUCUGGUGUACCGGAUUUCCCUGAUUCACUUAUGUUGCGACCGAC